rnacentral:tRNA from 1 species
GGUGCUCGCCUGCUAAGCGAGUGUGGGGGUUAUACCCCACCGAGGGUUCGAAUCCCUCUCUCUCCG